rnacentral:piRNA from 1 species
UGACUCGGCAGCUUUGGAAACCUUGA